rnacentral:rRNA from 1 species
CCCUAUCUACCAUCUAGCGAACCCACUGCCAAGGGAACGGGGCUUGGAACGAUCAGCGGGGAAAGAAGACCCUGUUGAGCUUGACUCUAGUCCGACUUUGUGAAAUGUCUUUGGAGGUGUAGCAUAGGUGGGAGAAGCAAUUCGACUUUGAAAUACCACUACUCUGAAUGAUGUUUUGCUUAUUUGAUCAAGUCAAAGUGCUUGAUUGCAUUUCAUGUGAUUAGCAAUAGUUAUGUGAGAUGCAGCUAAAUCAACUAUUUCUAUGACCAAGCAGUUUCUUGUGAUUCUGCGAUUGUUGUCAAAAACAUAGUCAGAUGGGGAGUUUGGCUGGGGCGGCACAUCCUCUAUACAAUAACGAGGGUGUCCAAAGAUGAGCUCAAUGAGAACAGAAAUCUCGUGUCGAGUAAAAGGGCAAAAGCUCAUUUCAUGUGCAUUUUCAGUACGAAUACACACUGUGAAAGCAUGGCCUAUCGAUC